rnacentral:rRNA from 1 species
GACGAACGCUGGCGGCGUGCUUAACACAUGCAAGUCGAACGGAAAGGCCCUGCUUUUGUGGGGUGCUCGAGUGGCGAACGGGUGAGUAACACGUGAGUAACCUGCCCUUGACUUUGGGAUAACUUCAGGAAACUGGGGCUAAUACCGGAUAGGAGCUCCUGCUGCAUGGUGGGGGUUGGAAAGUUUCGGCGGUUGGGGAUGGACUCGCGGCUUAUCAGCUUGUUGGUGUGGUAGUGGCUUACCAAGGCUUUGACGGGUAGCCGGCCUGAGAGGGUGACCGGCCACAUUGGGACUGAGAUACGGCCAAGACUCCUAAGGGAGGCAGCAGUGGGGAAUAUUGCACAAUGGGCGGAAGCCUGAUGCAGCAACGCCGCGUGCGGGAUGACGGCCUUCGGGUUGUAAACCGCUUUAGCCUGUGACGAAGCGUGAGUGACGGUAAUGGGUAAAGAAGCACCGGCUAACUACGUG